rnacentral:tRNA from 1 species
AUUUAAAUAGUUUAUAAUAAAAUUUUAAUUUGUGGGAUUAAAGAUAUGAUUUGUCAUUUUAAAUA